GAUGAACGCUGGCGGCGUGCCUAAUACAUGCAAGUCGAGCGAAUGGAUUAAGAGCUUGCUCUUAUGAAGUUAGCGGCGGACGGGUGAGUAACACGUGGGUAACCUGCCCAUAAGACUGGGAUAACCCCGGGAAACCGGGGCGAAUACCGGAUAACAUUUUGAACCGCAUGGUUCGAAAUUGAACGGCGGCUUCGGCUGUCACUUAGGGAUGGACCCGCGUCGCAUGAGCUAGUUGGUGAGGUAACGGCUCACCAAGGCAACGAUGCGUAGCCGACCUGAGAGGGUGAUCGGCCACACUGGGACUGAGACACGGCCCAGACUCCUACGGGAGGCAGCAGUAGGGAAUCUUCCGCAAUGGACGAAAGUCUGACGGAGCAACGCCGCGUGAGUGAUGAAGGCUUUCGGGUCGUAAAACUCUGUUGUUAGGGAAGAACAAGUGCUAGUUGAAUAAGCUGGCACCUUGACGGUACCUAACCAGAAAGCCACGGCUAACUACGUGCCAGCAGCCGCGGUAA
rnacentral:rRNA from 1 species